UGGGGAAUAUUGCACAAUGGGCGCAAGCCUGAUGCAGCCAUGCCGCGUGUAUGAAGAAGGCCUUCGGGUUGUAAAGUACUUUCAGUCGGGAGGAAGGUGUCAAGGUUAAUAACCUUGGCAAUUGACGUUACCCGCAGAAGAAGCACCGGCUAACUCCGUGCCAGCAGCCGCGGUAAUACGGAGGGUGCAAGCGUUAAUCGGAAUUACUGGGCGUAAAGCGCACGCAGGCGGUUUGUUAAGUCAGAUGUGAAAUCCCCGGGCUCAACCUGGGAACUGCAUCUGAUACUGGCAAGCUUGAGUCUCGUAGAGGGGGGUAGAAUUCCAGGUGUAGCGGUGAAAUGCGUAGAGAUCUGGAGGAAUACCGGUGGCGAAGGCGGCCCCCUGGACGAAGACUGACGCUCAGGUGCGAAAGCGUGGGGAGCAAACAGG
rnacentral:rRNA from 1 species